AUUGAACGCUGGCGGCAUGCUUUACACAUGCAAGUCGAACGGCAGCGCGGGCUUCGGCCUGGCGGCGCGUGGCGAACGGGUGAGUAAUGCAUCGGAACGUGCCCAGUAGUGGGGGAUAGUCCGGCGAAAGCCGGAUUAAUACCGCAUACGACCUGAGGGUGAAAGCGGGGGACCGAAAGGCCUCGCGCUAUUGGAGCGGCCGAUGUCGGAUUAGCUAGUUGGUGGGGUAAAGGCUUGCCAAGGCGACGAUCCGUAGCUGGUCUGGGAGGUGGACCAGCCACACUGGGACUGAGACACGGCCCAGGGUCCUACGGGAGGCAGCAGUGGGGAAUUUUGGACAAUGGGGGCAACCCUUACCCAGCCAGGCCGCGUGCGAGAAGGAGGCCUUCGGGUUGUAAACCGGUUUUGUUCGGGAAGAAAUCCUCUGGGCUAAUACCCCGGGGGGAUGACGGUACCGGAAGAAUAAGCACCGGCUAACUACGUG
rnacentral:rRNA from 1 species